rnacentral:rRNA from 1 species
AUACGUAGGGUGCGAGCGUUGUCCGGAAUUAUUGGGCGUAAAGAGCUUGUAGGCGGUUUGUCGCGUCUGCUGUGAAAAUCCGGGGCUCAACCCCGGACUGGCAGUGGGUACGGGCAGACUAGAGUAUGGUAGGGGAGACUGGAAUUCCUGGUGUAGCGGUGAAAUGCGCAGAUAUCAGGAGGAACACCAAUGGCGAAGGCAGGUCUCUGGGCCAUUACUGACGCUGAGAAGCGAAAGGGUGGGGAGCGAACGGGAUUAGAUACCCUGGUAGUCCACGCCGUAAACGUUGGGCGCUAGGUGUGGGACUCAUUUCACGAGUUCUGUGCCGCAGCUAACGCAUUAAGCGCCCCGCCUGGGGAGUACGGCCGCAAGGCUAAA